rnacentral:rRNA from 1 species
UACGGAGGGUGCGAGCGUUGUCCGGAAUCACUGGGCGUAAAGGGCGCGUAGGCGGCUCGGUAAGUAGGGGGUGAAAUCCUGCGGCUUAACCGCCAGGGCUGCCUUCUAAACUGUCGAGCUCGAGCACGGUAGAGGCAGAUGGAAUUCCCGGUGGUAGCGGUGGAAUGCGUAGAGAAUCGGGAAGAACAUCAGUGGCGGAAGGCGGUCUGCUGGGCCGUUGCUGACGGCUGAGGCGCGAACAGCGUGGGGAGCAAACAGGAU